AAAUCAAAAUUACAACGGAACCAAACUACGCCCUGUCUGACCAGUAGACUAUAAGCCAGGGGCUACAUGCACUUGAGUUGUCAUUAAAUUAGUCCUAAUGAUACAACAAAGAGUCAUUAUCAUCAAUAUGGCUAACGAUUAUAUUUCAUCGCCAUCCACUUGAUGUUCACCAGAUCCAACCCUACCACCUCUUGCCAUUUUGUUGCCAUCUGAU
rnacentral:misc_RNA from 1 species